GUGUCAAAAUUAUCAUUGAUUGUAACAGAUGGAUAUCAGUUCACCUCUCAGUCAUGAUCAUCAAUAGAGAUUCACUAAUGUGCCUGAAUGUACUCCUUCCACAAAAAUCGCGUGGAGAAAUAGACAAGAAGUAAAAAUGGGAAUGUAAAUAAAUAGUGGUGACAGAUUUGAUAAAACAUGGUUAUAUCAAACUCAAUUUUGGUUAGUUUUCACAAAAGCCUGUCAAAUAUGAAAAAUAGUUCACCUCUUCCCAUUUUAACAUGGUAAUUUUAGUUGUUACAAUGUGAACAUCUAUUCAGCAUUCAACAUAUUCACCCUAUGCCAAAAUAAAAUUAUCAACAAAAUAUAAACAUUGUCGUUGUUUCACGUCUAUUACAACAAUUGAUUUACACCCAGUACUUCAAAUAAAUCCAAGAAUUGAUGCUAUUACAUAUUUUCUACAGUGUUAUGUCACGGCUAACUCC
rnacentral:lncRNA from 1 species